rnacentral:rRNA from 1 species
UAAUGGCCUACCAAGGCGACGACGGGUAGCCGGCCUGAGAGGGCGACCGGCCACACUGGGACUGAGACACGGCCCAAACUCCUACGGGAGGCAGCAGUGGGGAAUAUUGGACAAUGGGCGAAGCCUGAUCCAGCAAUGCCGCGUGUGUGAAGAAGGUCUUCGGAUUGUAAAGCACUUUCGGCGGGGACGAUGAUGACGGUACCCGCAGAAGAAGCCCCGGCUAACUUCGUGCCAGCAGCCGCGGUAAUACGAAGGGGGCUAGCGUUGCUCGGAAUGACUGGGCGUAAAGGGCGCGUAGGCGGUUUGUACAGUCAGAUGUGAAAUAAACUGGGCUUAACCUGGGGACUGCAUUUGAGACGUGCAGACUUGAGUGUGGAAGAGGGUCGUGGAAUUCCCAGUGUAGAGGUGAAAUU